rnacentral:lncRNA from 1 species
CCCAAGCCUUCGAUGAGAUCGCAACGCCCAACGUUACUUUGAUUUCGGCCUGGUGAGACCCUGAGAAGAGGUCCAGCUAACUCAUGCCUGGCUCCUGACCCAUGGAAAUUAUCAGAUAAUACAAUUUUGUUGUUUUAAGCCAAAAAAUGUGUGGUAAUUUGCAGCAAUAGAAAACUAAUACACAUUAGGCUCAUGAAAACAGCUUCAAACUCAAUGAACAGGUCUCACUUUCCCUGUGUCUUCAUUUGUGUUUCCAAGAAUCACCUCCCAAAUAAUCUACCUGCGCUCAAUUCUUCGUCUCCAAGUUUGUUUUGAAGGAAAUCCAAAAUUUUAGUGUCGAUGCUAUGACCCCUGCAAAUCAAGUAAACAAGCAAAAUGAACUUAGGACAAAUUGCCUAUGGAGGAGGCGUAUUUGUUUCCCUAUUUGCCUUGGUCUCAACAAUGGUCACCAGUGAGCAACUAGGGUGUGGCAGAUGCACAAGAAAGCCUCCGAAACCAAGAGGAGAGCCUUCUAAAAGUUGUUAUCCCACGUUGGCUUGUCACCUCAGGGAGACUAACAAGCUCAUGACGUGCCAAGCAGUGCCAUGUCCGCACCCGGAAUCUGAACCGAUGAACCCCAGGCCGCCGAGAAGCGGAACGGAACGUGCGAACUUAACCACUGUGGCACCGGGCCCGGCCCCAUCUCUAGAAUAUUUUACAGCUCAUCCAUGUCAUUCUGAUUUCUGUUCUUAAACUUACUUCAGAGUGGACUCCAUUUUCUGCCUACAGAAGAUUUUCCUUCGGACGUAGUGGCCUAAGAUGCGAAUAAAAAGAUCAUGGCUCAACACUAAGAACAAUGAGUUCCCUGAAAAGUUACCAGAAAAUUAUUUGUCACAUCUCUGAGUGUGUGUGGGGGUGAAUAGUUUCAACCCUCAAUGCAUGGUUCAGGUAGAUAAAUAAAGUUUCU